CAGCGAUUUACAGGUUCUGACAGUGACAUCCGUUUCUACACCAGGUUUUCAUCUUAUGAUCAUCUGAUGCGGUUUUGGCAGGUUAUUGAACCAUCACUGAGAUUCAUGGUUCGGGUAACCAGAACAGGAACUGCAAACGUUGAAUCUGAAAAGCAAAGUGCUUCCAUGUCCUUACAGGCAAUAGAUGAACUGUUCCUCUUCCUGAACUACCUUGCCCUUGGUCUGAAGCAGAGGGACCUAGCUGAGCGGUAUGGGGUGCAUCAGUCUACUGUAAGCAGAAUCAUUCUGACCUGGAGCAAUUUUCUGUUUUCUGUUCUUGGUUCACAAUGCAUUUGGAUGACUCAAGACAAAAUUAAGGAACACUUGCCAUC